rnacentral:rRNA from 1 species
UAUGUGAUCGUCUCUCGCAUAUCAAUAAGCGGAGGAAAAGAAACUAACAAGGAUUCCCCUAGUAACGGCGAGUGAAGCGGGAAGAGCUCAAAUUUGAAAUCUUAAAGGGUUUCCCUUUACGAAUUGUAGUUUAAAGAAGUGUUUUCUGUUGAGGUUUUGGUAAAAGUUCUUUGGAAUAGGACAUCAUAGAGGGUGAGAAUCCCGUAUUUGACCUUUACUUUCAGCUUUGUGAUACACUUUCAAAGAGUCGGAUUGUUUGGGAAUGCAGUCCAAAAUGGGUGGUAAAUUUCAUCUAAAGCUAAAUAUUGGCGAGAGACCGAUAGCGAACAAGUACCGUGAGGGAAAGAUGAAAAGAACUUUGAAAAGAGAGUUAAACAGUACGUGAAAUUGUCAAAAGGGAAGCGUUUGACACCAGUGUUGUUUUUCUGAGAAUCAAUUAAAGAACUGUUUAUGCUAAGCUGUUUAGACUUUAUCAGCUAUCUGUUUAGUUUUGAGCUUUUCUUUAAUGCACUUUUCAGUUAACAAGUCAACAUCAAUUUCUUUUGCUGUAAAAAAGCUUGAGGAAGGUGGCUUGAGAUUCGUCUUAAGUGUUUAUAGCCUCUUGCCUAUGCAGUCGGAGAGAUUGAGGUCUGCAGCGUAGAUCCUUCGGGGCUAAAUGCAUUUGUGCUAAGUUAUAGCAUUUUAUAGACAACUUGUUGACUAUGAUUUGUCUUGUAGCUUACUCGCUUAUGUUAUUUUACCUACGCUUAGGAUGUUGAGGUCAUCGUAUCGCGC